AGAACGUUGUAUUUUAGGCUGAGCCACGGAUCAGAUAAGUGGCAACAGCACACCCCCGUCGCUCUACCCCCAACUCCCUUCCCCUCCUUCUCCGAUACUGCGGCGGCGGCGGCGGCGGCUUUCGGUCUGCACCGGCGACUAUGGAAUGGAAGAUGCAGGGUUGGAGUUUUUGCUCGGUGCCGUUGACAGGUUCCCCACUUCGGUAGGAGUUCGCUGACAGCCUUGAGCACCCAGAUCCGGCUCCUUUGGCCCUGUUGCCGGCUAGGCAGGCCAGCCCUGCCGUCCCGGCGGACUGAAACGCUGGGUCUGGGUGCGGGCAACAAGUUGGCUGCGGUGCCCGGAGAUACCACAGGGAGGGUGGGGGGUUACUCCGGCGUCUGGAUGCAUCCCCGACUAGGUCUGCCCUGUCAACCGAGGCCCCGGGAUGGACAAAGAGGUUGCCCCUCGGUAGUGCACCACCCAACCGGACGCCAUGUCCCUCUAGGCUGGGUGCACUGGGGCAGUCGAUUCACAAGUACGCAGAGGAACCUACAAAAGUGUAAUAAGACCUGAACUUGGCCUAAGUUUCAAUUCAUUAGGCGAGGCUAUAUGACUUCUACAAUCUGUAUUCUUGAGAAAUCGGUUUGGGAAUUAGGUAUGGCAAGAUCAGACUGAACGCCAGGAGGACAAAGUUUAAUGCAGGAGAUCCUUUGCGGGUGCUCUAUGCGCUCCGAUUUUUGCAACCAUCCCAAUUUGCCAUUUGUGUAGAUCCGCCACUGGUCAAUGGUUAGUGCAUGGAGCACGACUGAUCCGCCGGCGCAAGGAGGGGAAGACUAGUAUAGGAUCUCACAUUAGGUGAGAUCAAUGAGACGGACACCCCUGCACAAGGAGGCCAAGGGGGAGGUGAUAUGACAGGAAUUCCGUCUCGCUAUGCAUCCCUGGAAGAAGGUUUCAGUGAGCAUAAUCCAAGCACCGGAGUGUUGGCUGACGAAGAUGAUGGCGACUCGGAUGUGCACGACGGAUCUGACAUAAUGUAUGCUAUCGAGGAAGUUGAAUCCGCCGAGGAAAAUGAUAGCAGCAGAGGAGCAACGCGACGGCGUACGCAAGUGCAGGCAGCAUUUCUCAAGGGAAGUGGAAGUGAUGUCAACGCCCACCCAUGUCAAUCUUGCUAAGCUCCUCUACUAUUGCCGGGAUGGAGAGGAGUGGAUACUAGUCUACGAGUGGAUGGAGAAAAAAAGUUUGAAUCUUUACAUAUUUGGAGAAGACGGACUCCGCUCCUCACUGAGUUGGGCACAAAGACGGGAAAUAAUUCGAGGUGUCGCCGUAGGUGUUGAAUUUCUUCACGGCAGAGGAUUCAUUCACAGGGAUCUAAAACCUGCCAACAUACUGGUCAGUGACGUGGGUUCCAAAGAUAGCGGACUUCGCCACCGCGAAGCUGUUUAUUGAUGAGCAGACAGACCUGACAUUAGUACAGACGCGGGGAUAUGUCGCUCCUGAGUACAUAGGGGAAGGGGCCCUGACGUACAAGCGUGAUGUAUAUAGCUUCGGAGUCGUCUUGCUGGAGAUGUUCAGUGGCAAAAGGAGAACAAGCAAUGCAACGUUCCUUCCUGAUGUAAGUCUGCUCAUGACAAAACAUACUCCUCCCUGAUGCAUCCUCUGGUUUCUUCUCAGUGAAAAUGGGCGCCACUAGCUGAGCUUUUUAUUCUUUCUUUCUUACACGCCUGGGAAUUGUGGAAUCAACGUAAGAGCGGGGAGCUUCUUGAUUUGGCGGUGGGUGGUGAACCUGAAGGUGAAGUCUUGUCGGGGCUACUCAGAUGCAUCCAGAUUGGCCUUCUCUGUGUGCAGUAUUUGCCAGAGCACGGGCCUUCAAUGUCUGAAGUUGUGGCAAUGCUAAACACCAGCUCACAACUCCCCAGGCCACUGAAACCCACACCAAAUAGCGGACCAGGACCGGGCGCACAGCCCGGACCGAGCCGGACCUUCUUAACGUGGCUAUUUUGCUCACGCGGAUGUGACCCCGCGAGUCCAGGCACGGAAGCUACAGUGUAGUGCUUCGGUGUAUCAGGGUGAGGUAGUGGCAGUGCAAGAGGAAUAAGCCUAAACUUGCUACCGGUCCGGAUCCGGGACUUGCGGCAUGAUUUUGAUGUUUAUUUGUGUACUUUAACACCGGAUGUCGCCGUUGUUUUCCUAUCUGAA